ensembl:lncRNA
GGGGCAAAAACCGCCCAGCCUCGCGGGACUAGGCCUGGGCAGCCUUCUGGCGGCGCACGGCGCAUCGGGGUUUACAGAAGUAUAACUUGCUUCCCAGUAGCGCAUCACAGGAGAGACCCUUCCUUUAGGAAACCAAGCCUCGCCCAGGGUCGUCGUCUCUAUGGCCUCCUCCCUUCCCGGUGACUUGGUCGGAGCUGACAGAGACGGGAGGGGGGUUGCAAAGCGGGCGUGCGAAAGGGCCGCGACUGCCCCCAGCGGUGUGGGGUGGAACUACACUUAGGGCCCCAGACUGUGAGCCUGAGGAUCCGUGUGCGCAGUGUUUCUCACAUUGAUGCUUUCAACAUGGGAAGAAAAGUUACUGAAAGAUGGAAAAGGUGAGGACCCUAACAGCUGCAUCCUCAUCUUAGAAAGACAUCAACAGCAAGUCCCCUUGAAGCCAAGGAUAUGCCAAGAUGAGGAAUGGCUAAACACAGGAGACUUCUAUCAAGGGUCAGGAGAAGGGGUAUGGCAGGCUGGGCAGUCAAUGCCAUUCCUAGUGGGGUCCCCCCCACAAACUCAAUAAAAGG